rnacentral:rRNA from 1 species
UACGUAGGGUGCAAGCGUUAAUCGGAAUUACUGGGCGUAAAGCGUGCGCAGGCGGUGAUGUAAGACAGAUGUGAAAUCCCCGGGCUCAACCUGGGAACUGCAUUUGUGACUGCAUCGCUAGAGUACGGUAGAGGGGAUGGAAUUCCGCGUGUAGCAGUGAAAUGCGUAGAUAUGCGGAGGAACACCGAUGGCGAAGGCAAUCCCCUGGACCUGUACUGACGCUCAUGCACGAAAGCGUGGGGAGCAAACAGG